UUUCAGAUAAUGUCACUUGUCAACUGAGGAAUGACGAGGUUCAUAAACUUGGAAAGAAGAGGUUUCUUCUCAGAAAGGGGUGCACCCUGCAGGGCGGCCAUUGUGACAGGCUGAGAAGCAGAGCCUCUGGCCAGAAGCCAGAAACAGACCCUUCCAGGGGCAGAAGAACAAGACAGGAGUUUAUGCUGAAUGAAGUGGCCAAAUACACACAUUUGAUGAGCUAUGGGAGGAGCCCUGAAUAUUGAUGAGAGGAGAAAUAUGCGCGUGUGUAAUCAAGCUCCGUGUCUUUCCUGGGGACCUGGCCCCCAACUGACACAGCAGAAUGAAAUGUGAAACUUCCUCAUAUACAGUCAUUCAACUGACUCCAGUGCUGGCUUUAUAAUCUAUCACCAACCUAUUGGUUGUUUAAUGUGUUUGCGGCUCAGAAUUUUGGCAAAUAGAGGAAUAAAUUAUGUUAUCAAAUUCCUUAAUUUCAAGAGAACCAGUGGAAGGAAUAUCAUCCAAUUGGAUGGGUUUUUUCCGCUAAAACAACAAAGAAGUUCUUUCUGAAAUCACAACUUGGUGACUUAAGUUUUAAUUUAAAUUCUUGCAAGAGAUGCCAUGAUGUCAGGGUGAGACCACAGAGUACAGGGAAACCACAUCCUUUUGGAAACAGCAAUGCCUACCAGUGCAGAGAGAGCUGCUCUGUAGACAGAGAGAAGAAAGGGAGAGCACGACUUUACUAAUGCCAACAGCAGGGAAGUGCAAAGGAGGGCAGCCUCCAACUCCCUCCAGCUGGAAGCGAGCAAAGCACUGGGAAGGGCAAAAUGAGGCACAAUCCUCAAACCCCUUUAUCAACUUUUUUUUUUUUUU